GCGAAAAUAGCUCAGCUGGUAGAGCACGACCUUGCCAAGGUCGGGGUCGCG
rnacentral:tRNA from 1 species